UGGGGCGUAGACGAAUUGGUACAGUCACCAGAUUUUGGAUCUGGAGUUUGCAGGUUCGAGCCCUGCCGCCCCAGCCA
rnacentral:tRNA from 1 species